AUUUAGCCCUGAUUGAAGCGGCAUCUCCCGAUUUUUUAUCGGUAAUACAGCGCAAAGCAGGAACAAAU
rnacentral:sRNA from 1 species